UACGUAGGGAGCUAGCGUUGUUCGGAAUUACUGGGCGUAAAGCGCACGUAGGCGGCUUUGUAAGUUAGAGGUGAAAGCCUGGAGCUCAACUCCAGAACUGCAUUUAAGACUGGAUCGCUCGAAUACAGGAGAGGUGAGUGGAAUUCCUAGUGUAGAGGUGAAAUUCGUAGAUAUUCGGAAGAACACCAGUGGCGAAGGCGGCUCACUGGACUGGUAUUGACGCUGAGGUGCGAAAGCGUGGGUAGCAAACAGG
rnacentral:rRNA from 1 species